AUGGUAAAGAAAGCAUUGUGUUAUGCGCAAGGCACGAAGGACUACAUGCUAAUAUACAGAAGAAGUGAUUCCCUAGAGAUAAAAGGGUAUUCAGACGCAGAUUUUGCGGGGGACAAAGAUGAUAGAAAAUCCACGUCAGGAUACGUAUUCACCCUCGCUGGGGGAGCUAUUUCGUGGAAAAGCUCCAAACAGUCGAUAGUUGCAUCAUACACGAUGUAUGCAGAAUUCAUAGCAUGCUUCGAAGCCACGGGGCAGGCGGUAUGGCUAAAGAAAUUUGUACCCGACUUGAAAGUGGUAGAUUGUAUUCACAAACCACUAAAGAUGUACUGCGACAACCAACUCGCAGUAUUCUAUGCUCACAACAACAAGUCGAGUAAUGCUGCCAAAACAAUAGAGAUAAGGUAUUAUGUUGUGAAAGAUAAAAUCCAGGAUCAAACUAUAAGUCUCGAGCAUAUAAGGACAAAAGAUAUGCUUGCGGAUCCGCUAACGAAAGGCUUACCACCCAAUGUGUUAAAGGAACACUUAGCCGGCAUGGGAUUAAGGAAAAGCCUUAUGAUUUCUGGAUAG
rnacentral:rRNA from 1 species